rnacentral:tRNA from 1 species
GGUGGCUUAGUGGUAGAGUGCCUGCUUUGCAUGCAUGAGACCCUGGGUUCGAUUCCUCAGCACCA